GGGGAUGCAUGUUACCAAGGACGGCGACGGGGCCUUGCAAGCUCCGUGGGGUGAGUUCGAUUCUCACCGUCUCCA
rnacentral:tRNA from 1 species